UACGAGUGGUGCAAGCGUUACCCGGAAUUACUGGGCGUAAAGCGUCUGUAGGUGGUGUAUCAAGUCUGAUGUUAAAUCCCACAGCCCAACUGUGGAUUAGCGUUAGAAACUGGUACGCUAGAGGUUGGAAGAGGCCAGUGGAAUUCGGUGUGUAGGGGUAAAAUCCGUAGAUACACCGAGGAACACCCAAAGCGAAGGCAUCUGGCUAGUCCAAUCCUGACACUCAAAG
rnacentral:rRNA from 1 species